GACGAACGCUGGCGGCGUGCUUAACACAUGCAAGUCGAACGGAAAGGCCCUGCUUUUGUGGGGUGCUCGAGUGGCGAACGGGUGAGUAACACGUGAGUAACCUGCCCUUGACUUUGGGAUAACUUCAGGAAACUGGGGCUAAUACCGGAUAGGAGCUCCUGCUGCAUGGUGGGGGUUGGAAAGUUUCGGCGGUUGGGGAUGGACUCGCGGCUUAUCAGCUUGUUGGUGGGGUAGUGGCUUACCAAGGCUUUGACGGGUAGCCGGCCUGAGAGGGUGACCGGCCACAUUGGGACUGAGAUACGGCCCAGACUCCUACGGGAGGCAGCAGUGGGGAAUAUUGCACAAUGGGCGGAAGCCUGAUGCAGCAACGCCGCGUGCGGGAUGACGGCCUUCGGGUUGUAAACCGCUUUCGCCUGUGACGAAGCGUGAGUGACGGUAAUGGGUAAAGAAGCACCGGCUAACUACUU
rnacentral:rRNA from 1 species